rnacentral:rRNA from 2 species
UGUGAAGUCAUUGAUGCCAUGCUUCCAGGAAAAGCCUCUAAGCUUCAGAUUGUAAGGAAUCGUACCCCAAACCGACACAGGUGGUCGGGUAGAGAAUACCAAGGCGCUUGAGAGAACUCGGGUGAAGGAACUAGGCAAAAUGGUACCGUAACUUCGGGAGAAGGUACGCUCUCGACGGUGAAGUCCCUCGCGGAUGGAGCUAUUGAGAGUCGCAGAUACCAGGUGGCUGCAACUGUUUAUUAAAAACACAGCACUGUGCAAAAUCGUAAGAUGACGUAUACGGUGUGACGCCUGCCCGGUGCCGGAAGGUUAAUUGAUGGGGUUAGACUUCGGUCGAAGCUCUUGAUCGAAGCCCCGGUAAACGGCGGCCGUAACUAUAACGGUCCUAAGGUAGCGAAAUUCCUUGUCGGGUAAGUUCCGACCUGCACGAAUGGCGUAAUGAUGGCCACGCUGUCUCCACCCGAGACUCAGUGAAAUUGAAAUCGCUGUGAAGAUGCAGUGUACCCGCGGCUAGACGGAAAGACCCCGUGAACCUUUACUACAGCUUGGCACUGAACAUUGACCCUACAUGUGUAGGAUAGGUGGGAGGCUUUGAAGCACGUACGCCAGUAUGUGUGGAGCCGUCCUUGAAAUACCACCCUUGUAGUGUUGAUGUUCUAACGUCGACCCCUUAUCGGGGUUGCGGACAGUGCCUGGUGGGUAGUUUGACUGGGGCGGUCUCCUCCCAAAGAGUAACGGAGGAGCACGAAGGUGGGCUAAUCACGGUUGGACAUCGUGAGGUUAGUGCAAUGGCAUAAGCCCGCUUGACUGCGAGAAUGACAAUUCGAGCAGGUGCGAAAGCAGGUCAUAGUGAUCCGGUGGUUCUGAAUGGAAGGGCCAUCGCUCAACGGAUAAAAGGUACUCCGGGGAUAACAGGCUGAUACCGCCCAAGAGUUCAUAUCGACGGCGGUGUUUGGCACCUCGAUGUCGGCUCAUCACAUCCUGGGGCUGAAGUCGGUCCCAAGGGUAUGGCUGUUCGCCAUUUAAAGUGGUACGCGAGCUGGGUUUAGAACGUCGUGAGACAGUUCGGUCCCUAUCUGCCGUGGGCGUUGGAAGAUUGAAGGGGGCUGCUCCUAGUACGAGAGGACCGGAGUGGACGAACCUCUGGUGUUCGGGUUGUGUCGCCAGACGCAUUGCCCGGUAGCUAAGUUCGGAAUCGAUAACCGCUGAAAGCAUCUAAGCGGGAAGCGAGCCCUGAGAUGAGUCUUCCCUGAUACUUUAAGUAUCCUAAAGGGUUGUCGGAGACUACGACGUUGAUAGGUCAGGUGUGUAAGUGCUGUGAGGCAUUGAGCUAACUGAUACUAAUUGCCCGUGAGGCUUAACCAU